GCCUUCGUAGUGUAGUGGUUAGACGCGUAAACAAGAAGUCCGUGGUUCGAUUCCCGGCGAAGGCG
rnacentral:tRNA from 1 species